AAUAGAUACCCUGGUAGUCCUAGCCGUAAACGAUACUCGCUAGGUGUCGGCCACGGUGCGACCGUUGUCGGUGCCGUAGGGAAGCCGUGAAGCGAGCCACCUGGGAAGUACGGCCGCAAGGCUGAAACUUAAAGGAAUUGGCGGGGGGAGCACCACAACGGGUGGAGCUUGCGGUUUAAUUGGAUUCAACGCCGGAAAUCUUACCGGGACCGACAGCAACAUGAAGGCCAGGCUGAAGACUUUGCCGGAUUAGCUGAGAGGUGGUGCAUGGCCGUCGUCAGUUCGUACUGUGAAGCAUCCUGUUAAGUCAGGCAACGAGCGAGACCCACGCCCACAGUUGCCAGCGUACUCUCCGGAGUGACGAGUACACUGUGGGGACCGCCGCUGCUAAAGCGGAGGAAGGAAUGGGCAACGGUAGGUCAGUAUGCCCCGAAUAUCCCGGGCUACACGCGAGCUACAAUGGUUGGUACAAUGGGUAUCUACCCCGAAAGGGGAUGGAAAUCUCCUAAAGCCAAUCUUAGUUCGGAUUGAGGGCUGCAACUCG
rnacentral:rRNA from 1 species